GAGAAGCUUCGACCAAGGUUCGAUUCGAGCGCAGCGAGAAAGCGUUGCCGCAGGCAACGACCCGAAGGGCGAAGCGCGCAGCGCUGAGUAAUCCUUCCCCCACCACCA
rnacentral:sRNA from 1 species